rnacentral:rRNA from 1 species
GUGAGGAAUAUUGGUCAAUGGGCGGGAGCCUGAACCAGCCAAGUCGCGUGAAGGAAGAAGGAUCUAUGGUUCGUAAACUUCUUUUGCAGGGGAAUAAAGUGCAGGACGUGUCCUGUUUUGUAUGUACCCUGAGAAUAAGGAUCGGCUAACUCCGUGCCAGCAGCCGCGGUAAUACGGAGGAUCCGAGCGUUAUCCGGAUUUAUUGGGUUUAAAGGGUGCGUAGGUGGUUUGAUAAGUCAGCGGUGAAAGUUUGCAGCUUAACUGUAAAAAUGCCGUUGAAACUGUCGGACUUGAGUGUAAAUGAGGUAGGCGGAAUGCGUGGUGUAGCGGUGAAAUGCAUAGAUAUCACGCAGAACUCCGAUUGCGAAGGCAGCUCACAAAGCCAAUAUUGACGCUGAGGCACGAAAGUGUGGGGAUCAAACAGGAUUAGAAACCCGAGUAGUCC